AACGUAGGUGGUAAGCGUUAUCCGGAAUUACUGGGCGUAAAGGGUGUGCAGGCGGGGAAGCAAGUGGGGUGUGAAAUCUCCAGGCUUAACCUGGAGGGGUUAUGCCAGACUGCAUCUCUAGAGGACGAGAGAGGGGGGUGGAAUUCCGGGUGUAGUGGUGAAAUGCGUAGAGAUCCGGAGGAACCCCAGAGGCGAAGGCGGCCCCCUGGCUCGUACCUGACGCUCAGCCACGAAAGCAUGGGGAGCGAACGGG
rnacentral:rRNA from 1 species